AAAAGACAUCAAAGCUCAAAACUUCUCUUUUAGGGUCAAUCUUCUUUACUCUGUGAAAGUCUUGCGCGAUGUCGAAGCUCAGCUCUUUUCCACCUGACUACUAGAUAGCAUAACGUAAAGAGCGUGUUUAUCAGGAUUAUCAUUGAAAUUACAAGCAGUGGCCCAGACCAGAGUGCUGAUAAGAAAACUCCAUUUGGAUCAAAA
rnacentral:misc_RNA from 1 species